rnacentral:rRNA from 1 species
CCUACGGGAGGCAGCAGUAAUGAAUAUUGGUCAAUGGACGCAAGUCUGAACCAGCCAUGCCGCGUGCAGGAUGACGGCCCUCUGGGUUGUAAACUGCUUUUAUAGGAGACGAAAAAAGGGCUUUCUAGCUCGUCUGACGGUACCCUAGAAAUAAGCACCGGCUAACUCCGUGCCAGCAGCCGCGGUAAUACGGAGGGUGCAAGCGUUAUCCGGAUUUACUGGGUUUAAAGGGUGCGUAGGUGGGUCGGUAAGUCAGCGGUGAAAUCUUCGAGCUUAACUCGGAAACUGCCAUUGAUACUAUCGAUCUUGAAUCAUCUAGAGGUAAGCGGAAUAUGUCAUGUAGCGGUGAAAUGCUUAGAUAUGACAUAGAACACCAAUUGCGAAGGCAGCUUACUAUGGAUGUAUUGACACUGAGGCACGAAAGCGUGGGGAUCAAACAGGAUUAGAUACCCUGGUAGUCCACGCCCUAAACGAUGGAUACUCGACAUCAGCGAUACACUGUUGGUGUCUGAGCGAAAGCACUAAGUAUCCCACCUGGGAAGUACGAUCGCAAGAUUGAAACUCAAAGGAAUUGACGGA